rnacentral:rRNA from 1 species
GUUUCUUAAGUCUGAUGUGAAAGCCCACGGCUCAACCGUGGAGGGUCAUUGGAAACUGGGAAACUUGAGUGCAGAAGAGGAAAGUGGAAUUCCAUGUGUAGCGGUGAAAUGCGCAGAGAUAUGGAGGAACACCAGUGGCGAAGGCGACUUUCUGGUCUGUAACUGACGCUGAUGUGCGAAAGCGUGGGGAUCAAACAGGAUUAGAUACCCUGGUAGUCCACGCUGUAAACGGUGGGUACUANGUGUGGGGUCCAUUCCACGGGUUCCGUGCCGUAGCUAACGCUUUAAGUACCCCGCCUGGGGAGUACGGCCGCAAGGCUAAAACUCAAAGGAAUUGACGGGGCCCCGCACAAGCGGCGGAGCAUGCGGAUUAAUUCGAUGCAACGCGUAGAACCUUACCUGGGUUUGACAUGGAUCGGGAGUGCUCAGAGAUGGGUGUGCCUCUUUUGGGGUCGGUUCACAGGUGGUGCAUGGCUGUCGUCAGCUCGUGUCGUGAGAUGUUGGGUUAAGUCCCGCAACGAGCGCAACCCUUGUUCACUGUUGCCAGCACGUUAUGGUGGGGACUCAGUGGAGACCGCCGGGGUCAACUCGGAGGAAGGUGGGGAUGACGUCAAGUCAUCAUGCCCCUUAUGUCCAGGGCUUCACGCAUGCUACAAUGGCUGGUACAGAGAGUGGCGAGCCUGUGAGGGUGAGCGAAUCUCGGAAAGCCGGUCUCAGUUCGGAUUGGGGUCUGCAACUCGACCUCAUGAAGUCGGAGUCGCUAGUA